AAAGCUCUUAAGUAUAGUGGAUACUCUCAAGGACCAUUCUUAGAGACAAGAUUAGGUCUUCUUGUUCCAACAUGUAUAAUUGUUUGAUGUUAUUUCUCCUCCCCUAUCUCUUAUUUUUUUGUUAUUUAUCUUUACUUUCAAUUUCCAUUGCAUAUUUUCAAUUAUUUAUAAAAUGGUUUUAAACUUUAUUUUUUAAAAUGAUUUUGUUUUAAAUCAUCACUUUUCAAACCUAC
rnacentral:lncRNA from 1 species